rnacentral:rRNA from 1 species
CAGUAGCCGCGGGAAUACGUAGGGCGCAAGCGUUGUCCGGAAUUAUUGGGCGUAAAGAGCUCGUAGGCGGUCUGUCGCGUCUGGUGUGAAAUCCCGAGGCUCAACCUCGGGCUUGCAUCGGGUACGGGCAGACUAGAGUGCGGUAGGGGAGACUGGAAUUCCUGGUGUAGCGGUGGAAUGCGCAGAUAUCAGGAGGAACACCGAUGGCGAAGGCAGGUCUCUGGGCCGCAACUGACGCUGAGGAGCGAAAGCAUGGGGAGCGAACAGGAUUAGAUACCCCGGUAGUCCCUGUUUCUUAUAC